UACGAAGGGGGCUAGCGUUGCUCGGAAUUACUGGGCGUAAAGCGCACGUAGGCGGCUUCUUAAGUCGGAGGUGAAAUCCUGGAGCUCAACUCCAGAACUGCCUUUGAUACUGGCGAUCUCGAGUCCGGGAGAGGUGAGUGGAACUGCGAGUGUAGAGGUGAAAUUCGUAGAUAUUCGCAAGAACACCAGUGGCGAAGGCGGCUCACUGGCCCGGUACUGACGCUGAGGUGCGAAAGCGUGGGGAGCAAACAGG
rnacentral:rRNA from 1 species